rnacentral:lncRNA from 1 species
GGGGAGGGGCGCGGGGCCCGGAGCAGCUCAGCCUAUGACACUCGGCUGCGCCAGAGGGUGGCGGUGAAGAAGCUGUCGCGCCCCUUCCAGUCUCUGAUCCACGCGAGAAGGACAUACCGUGAGCUGCGGCUGCUCAAGCACCUGAAGCACGAGAACGUCAUCGGGCUGCUGGACGUGUUCACACCGGCCACCUCCAUCGAGGACUUCAGCGAAGUGUACCUGGUGACCACGCUGAUGGGCGCCGACCUGAAUAACAUCGUCAAGUGCCAGGCGCUGAGCGACGAGCACGUUCAGUUCCUCGUGUACCAGCUGCUGCGCGGGCUGAAGUACAUCCACUCGGCGGGGAUCAUCCACCGGGACCUGAAGCCCAGCAAUGUGGCCGUGAACGAGGACUGCGAGCUGCGGAUCCUGGACUUCGGGCUCGCGCGCCAGGCCGACGAGGAGAUGACUGGCUACGUGGCCACUCGCUGUGGACAUCUGGUCUGUGGGCUGCAUCAUGGCCGAGCUGCUCCAGGGAAAGGCCCUCUUCCCAGGAAAUGACUACAUCGACCAGCUGAAGCGCAUCAUGGAGGUGGUGGGCACACCCAGCCCUGAGGUUCUAGCGAAGAUAUCCUCGGAACACCUGUGGACCUCCUGGGAAGGAUGCUGGUGCUGGACAGUGACCAGAGGGUCAGCGCGGCCGAGGCCCUGUCGCACGCCUACUUCAGCCAGUACCACGACCCGGAGGAUGAGCCGGAAGCAGAGCCCUACGAUGAGAGCAUCGAGGCCAAGGAGCGCACGGCGGAGGAGUGGAAGGAGCUCACCUACCAGGAGGUCCUCAGCUUCAAGCCCCCGGAGCCACCGCGGCCACCUGGCAGCCUGGAGGUUGAGCAGUGAGGCGACCUCAAGGCAGGGCCUGAGCCGGCCUGCCCCCUCCCUCAGCCUGCCUCCCAGGACCCCUUGUCUAUGCGACACUCCUUGGGGCAAGUUUGCACGCUUGGAUGCUCAUGUGUGAGCCACCGACGUGGGAGUCUGGGCAGAGCUGUCAGGACUUCCUUGGUCCCCGACCCGCUCCCAGCAACCUGAGUCUCCCUCGGGACCUCACUGUGGGGGACCUGGGUGCCCUAGCACCCCCCGGGGAUGGUGUCUGUUUCCAGUCUCCUGAGCCGAAGAGGGCUGUCGCAUGGUCGGCGGGGCGGGGGGGGUGGUGCUUUGGGGCCCAGCCUCCUGGAGACAAAAGUCUGGGUGGUCAGAGCCGCUCAGCGGGAAGGGGCUGCCCUGCAAAGUGCUGAGCCGAAUCUUCCCUGGGGGGCAGGUGGGGACAGCUGCCUGGAGCCAUGUGUUCACCUGUGCUAUCUUGGGCACACCUGGGAUUCACAUGUCAAAGCAGAUGCAGGCAUGUGUGGACCUGAGGGCAUCCAAAGGCCAGCGACCAUGACCAGCAGGAGGCCCAAGUUGGGGCGGCAGUGGCAGUGGCUCACUAUUGCCCACCCCCCCAGGUCCUGGGGUGGGAGCCGUGCUGCCGGCCAGGGGCGAGGUGACCAGGGUCAGCCAUGUGAGCAAAAGGAUCCUGUCUCCUUGGGCAUGGGAUCUGCAGCAGGUUCCAGAGGCCCGAGGGCACCAUGCCAGCUGGGGGGCUGGCAGGCCUGGGGGCUCCAGCAUGGAGGACCCACACUCUGGUAUGGACUCGGAUCCUGGCCCCUGGCCCAGAGCUCCUGAAGAAAACCUCUGCCCGCUCUACGUCUGCAGGGCAGCCCUGUCUUGCCCCUCCAGGGUGCAGCUGACCUCCAGCCUCUGCUCGAAAUGCACUGGGGGUGCAGGUCCUCCCUCAAGGGGCUUCUCUGUCAGGCGGGCUGGGGGGUGACCCCUGGCCUUGCGGGAUCAGGGAGAUCUGAAUGUCAAGUGCCUGCCCCAGGGUUUCACAAUAAAAGGGGUCCUCUCUCGCUC